rnacentral:rRNA from 1 species
GAUGAACGCUGGCGGCGUGCCUAAUACAUGCAAGUCGAGCGAACGGACGAGAAGCUUGCUUCUCUGAUGUUAGCGGCGGACGGGUGAGUAACACGUGGAUAACCUACCUAUAAGACUGGGAUAACUUCGGGAAACCGGAGCUAAUACCGGAUGAUAUUUUGAACCGCAUGGUUCAAUAGUGAAAGACGGUCUUGGUGUCACUUAUAGAUGGAUCCGCGCUGCAUUAGCGAGUUGGUACGGUAACGGCAUACCAAGGCAACGAUGCAUAGCCGACCAGAGAGGGUCAUGGGCCACACUGGAACUGAGACACGGUCCCGACUCCUACGGGAGGCAGCCGUGGGGAAUCUUCCGCGAUGGGCGAAAGCAUGACGGAGCAACGCCGGGUGAGUGAUGAAGGUCUUCGGAUCGUAAGACGCUGUUAUUAGGGAAGAACAUAUGUGUAAGUAGCUGUGCACAUCUUGACGGUACCUAAUCAGAAAACCACGGCUAACUACGUG